AUCAACUUUCGAUGGUAGGAUAGAGGCCUACCAUGGUGGUAACGGGUAACGGGGUGUUAGGGCACGACACCGGAGAGGGAGCCUGAGAAACGGCUACCACAUCCAAGGAUGGCAGCAGGCGCGCAAAUUACCCAAUCCCGACACGGGGAGGUAGUGACAAUAGAUAACAAUACGGGGUUCUUUAGGAUCUCGUAAUUGGAAUGAGUACAAUUUAAAUCUCUUAACGAGGAACAAUUGGAGGGCAAGUCUGGUGCCAGCAGCCGCGGUAAUUCCAGCUCCAAUAGCGUAUAUUAAAGUUGUUGCAGUUAAAAAGCUCGUAGUUGAAUUUCGGGGUCAGUAGGUUGGUCGUGCCACUGGUAUGUACUGGUCUCACUGAUUCCUCCUUCCUGAUGAGCUGUAAUGCCAUUAAUUUGGUGUUGCAGGGAAUCUGGACUGUUACUUUGAAAAAAUUAGAGUGUUUAAAGCAGGCUAACGCUUGAAUACAUUAGCAUGGAAUAAUGAAAUAGGACGUUCGAUCCUAUUUUGUUGGUUUCUAGGAUCGACGUAAUGAUUAAUAGGGAUAGUUGGGGGCAUUAGUAUUCAAUUGUCAGAGGUGAAAUUCUUGGAUUUAUUGAAGACUAACUACUGCGAAAGCAUUUGCCAAGGAUGUUUUCAUUAAUCAAGAACGAAAGUUAGGGGAUCGAAGACGAUCAGAUACCGUCGUAGUCUUAACCAUAAACUAUGCCGACUAGGGAUCGGAUGAUGUUAAUUUUUUAAUGACUCAUUCGGCGCCUUACGGGAAACCAAAGUGUUUGGGUUC
rnacentral:rRNA from 1 species